UUCUUCUUAUGAAUGUCAAACUUUAGAGAGAAAGCUCCAGUUGAACUCUUUUUGGACUCUGGAGACCCCCGAAGGAAUCUCAUAUUAUUCACUGCAUUCAUAUCAUCUUGCGGUAAUUUUGCUAACUUCAUUAGAUUAAGACCCUUCUCACUAUCAAACUUCUCAGGACAAAUGGCUGCAAGAAUCAUCAACAAGCGCAACUUAUUUUCGCGAGUAACAUCCUCUUUUGCAGUUAAAAAUUUAAUUACAUCUUUCGUUCCUGCAUCUCCAAAAACUAGGUCCUGCUCCAGUUGCCCUAUGUCUCG
rnacentral:misc_RNA from 1 species